UGCCUACGGGGGGCAGCAGUGGGGGAUAUUGGACAAUGGGGGAAACCCUGAUCCAGCGAUGCCGCGUGAGGGAAGAAGGUUUUCGGAUUGUAAACCUCUGUGGAGGGGGACGAUAAUGACGGUACCCCUUUAGGAAGCCACGGCUAACUACGUGCCAGCAGCCGCGGUAAUACGUAGGUGGCGAGCGUUGUCCGGAAUUACUGGGUGUAAAGGGAGCGUAGGCGGGAAGACAAGUUGAAUGUUUAAACUAUCGGCUCAACCGAUAAUCGCGUUCAAAACUGUUUUUCUUGAGUGAAGUAGAGGCA
rnacentral:rRNA from 1 species